GAUUCGUCACACUAUCAUUAACUGAAUCCAUAGGUUAAUGAGGCGAACCGGGGGAACUGAAACAUCUAAGUACCCCGAGGAAAAGAAAUCAACCGAGAUUCCCCCAGUAGCGGCGAGCGAACGGGGAGGAGCCCAGAGCCUGAAUCAGUGUGUGUGUUAGUGGAAGCGUCUGGAAAGGCGCGCGAUACAGGGUGACAGCCCCGUACACAAAAAUGCACAUGCUGUGAGCUCGAUGAGUAGGGCGGGACACGUGGUAUCCUGUCUGAAUAUGGGGGGACCAUCCUCCAAGGCUAAAUACUCCUGACUGACCGAUAGUGAACCAGUACCGUGAGGGAAAGGCGAAAAGAACCCCGGCGAGGGGAGUGAAAAAGAACCUGAAACCGUGUACGUACAAGCAGUGGGAGCACAGAGCAAUCUGUGUGACUGCGUACCUUUUGUAUAAUGGGUCAGCGACUUAUAUUCUGUAGCAAGGUUAACCGAAUAGGGGAGCCGAAGGGAAACCGAGUCUUAACUGGGCGUUAAGUUGCAGGGUAUAGACCCGAAACCCGGUGAUCUAGCCAUGGGCAGGUUGAAGGUUGGGUAACACUAACUGGAGGACCGAACCGACUAAUGUUGAAAAAUUAGCGGAUGACUUGUGGCUGGGGGUGAAAGGCCAAUCAAACCGGGAGAUAGCUGGUUCUCCCCGAAAGCUAUUUAGGUAGCGCCUCGUGAAUUCAUCUCCGGGGGUAGAGCACUGUUUCGGCAAGGGGGUCAUCCCGACUUACCAACCCGAUGCAAACUGCGAAUACCGGAGAAUGUUAUCACGGGAGACACACGGCGGGUGCUAACGUCCGUCGUGAAGAGGGAAACAACCCAGACCGCCAGCUAAGGUCCCAAAGUCAUGGUUAAGUGGGAAACGAUGUGGGAAGGCCCAGACAGCCAGGAUGUUGGCUUAGAAGCAGCCAUCAUUUAAAGAAAGCGUAAUAGCUCACUGGUCGAGUCGGCCUGCGCGGAAGAUGUAACGGGGCUAAACCAUGCACCGAAGCUGCGGCAGCGACACUGUGUGUUGUUGGGUAGGGGAGCGUUCUGUAAGCCUGUGAAGGUGUGCUGUGAGGCAUGCUGGAGGUAUCAGAAGUGCGAAUGCUGACAUAAGUAACGAUAAAGCGGGUGAAAAGCCCGCUCGCCGGAAGACCAAGGGUUCCUGUCCAACGUUAAUCGGGGCAGGGUGAGUCGACCCCUAAGGCGAGGCCGAAAGGCGUAGUCGAUGGGAAACAGGUUAAUAUUCCUGUACUUGGUGUUACUGCGAAGGGGGGACGGAGAAGGCUAUGUUGGCCGGGCGACGGUUGUCCCGGUUUAAGCGUGUAGGCUGGUUUUCCAGGCAAAUCCGGAAAAUCAAGGCUGAGGCGUGAUGACGAGGCACUACGGUGCUGAAGCAACAAAUGCCCUGCUUCCAGGAAAAGCCUCUAAGCAUCAGGUAACAUCAAAUCGUACCCCAAACCGACACAGGUGGUCAGGUAGAGAAUACCAAGGCGCUUGAGAGAACUCGGGUGAAGGAACUAGGCAAAAUGGUGCCGUAACUUCGGGAGAAGGCACGCUGAUAUGUAGGUGAAGUCCCUCGCGGAUGGAGCUGAAAUCAGUCGAAGAUACCAGCUGGCUGCAACUGUUUAUUAAAAACACAGCACUGUGCAAACACGAAAGUGGACGUAUACGGUGUGACGCCUGCCCGGUGCCGGAAGGUUAAUUGAUGGGGUCAGCGCAAGCGAAGCUCUUGAUCGAAGCCCCGGUAAACGGCGGCCGUAACUAUAACGGUCCUAAGGUAGCGAAAUUCCUUGUCGGGUAAGUUCCGACCUGCACGAAUGGCGUAAUGAUGGCCAGGCUGUCUCCACCCGAGACUCAGUGAAAUUGAACUCGCUGUGAAGAUGCAGUGUACCCGCGGCAAGACGGAAAGACCCCGUGAACCUUUACUAUAGCUUGACACUGAACAUUGAGCCUUGAUGUGUAGGAUAGGUGGGAGGCUUUGAAGUGUGGACGCCAGUCUGCAUGGAGCCGACCUUGAAAUACCACCCUUUAAUGUUUGAUGUUCUAACGUGGACCCGUGAUCCGGGUUGCGGACAGUGUCUGGUGGGUAGUUUGACUGGGGCGGUCUCCUCCUAAAGAGUAACGGAGGAGCACGAAGGUUGGCUAAUCCUGGUCGGACAUCAGGAGGUUAGUGCAAUGGCAUAAGCCAGCUUGACUGCGAGCGUGACGGCGCGAGCAGGUGCGAAAGCAGGUCAUAGUGAUCCGGUGGUUCUGAAUGGAAGGGCCAUCGCUCAACGGAUAAAAGGUACUCCGGGGAUAACAGGCUGAUACCGCCCAAGAGUUCAUAUCGACGGCGGUGUUUGGCACCUCGAUGUCGGCUCAUCACAUCCUGGGGCUGAAGUAGGUCCCAAGGGUAUGGCUGUUCGCCAUUUAAAGUGGUACGCGAGCUGGGUUUAGAACGUCGUGAGACAGUUCGGUCCCUAUCUGCCGUGGGCGCUGGAGAACUGAGGGGGGCUGCUCCUAGUACGAGAGGACCGGAGUGGACGCAUCACUGGUGUUCGGGUUGUCAUGCCAAUGGCACUGCCCGGUAGCUAAAUGCGGAAGAGAUAAGUGCUGAAAGCAUCUAAGCACGAAACUUGCCCCGAGAUGAGUUCUCCCUGACCCUUUAAGGGUCCUGAAGGAACGUUGAAGACGACGACGUUGAUAGGCCGGGUGUGUAAGCGCAGCGAUGCGUUGAGCUAACCGGUACCAAUGAACCGUGAGGCUUAACCUU
rnacentral:rRNA from 1 species